rnacentral:rRNA from 1 species
AGUGAACGCUGGCGGUAGGCCUAACACAUGCCAGUCGAACGGCAGCACAGUAAGAGCUUGCUCUUACGGGUGGCGAGUGGCGGACGGGUGAGGAAUACAUCGGAAUCUACUUUUUCGUGGGGGAUAACGUAGGGAAACUUACGCUAAUACCGCAUACGACCUACGGGUGAAAGCAGGGGAUCUUCGGACCUUGCGCGAUUGAAUGAGCCGAUGUCGGAUUAGCUAGUUGGCGGGGUAAAGGCCCACCAAGGCGACGAUCCGUAGCUGGUCUGAGAGGAUGAUCAGCCACACUGGAACUGAGACACGGUCCAGACUCCUACGGGAGGCAGCAGUGGGGAAUAUUGGACAAUGGGCGCAAGCCUGAACCAGCCAUACCGCGUGCGUGAAGAAGGCCUUCGGGUUGUAAAGCCCUUUUGUUGGGAAAGAAAAGCAGCAGGUUAAUACCCCGCUGUUCUGACGGUACCCAAAGAAUAAGCACCGGCUAACUUCGUG